rnacentral:rRNA from 1 species
UACGUAGGGUGCAAGCGUUGUCCGGAAUUAUUGGGCGUAAAGAGCUCGUAGGCGGUUCGUCGCGUCGGCUGUGAAAUCGCCCGGCUCAACUGGGCGGGGUCAGCGGAUACGGUCGAGCUUGAGCAAGCUAGGGGGCAAUGGAAUUCCCGGUGUAGUGGUGGAAUGCGUAGAUAUCGGGAGGAACACCAGUGGCGAAGGCGGUUGCCUGGGGCUUUGCUGACGCUGAUGCGCGAAAGCGUGGGGAGCGAACAGG